rnacentral:rRNA from 1 species
GACGAACGCUGGCGGCGUGCUUAACACAUGCAAGUCGAACGGUAAGGCCCUUCGGGGUACACGAGUGGCGAACGGGUGAGUAACACGUGGGUGAUCUGCCCUGCACUUCGGGAUAAGCCUGGGAAACUGGGUCUAAUACCGGAUAGGACUCCGGACUGCAUGGUCUGGGGUGGAAAGCUUUUGCGGUGUGGGAUGGGCCCGCGGCCUAUCAGCUUGUGGGUGGGGUGAUGGCCUACCAAGGCGACGACGGGUAGCCGGCCUGAGAGGGUGACCGGCCACAGUGGGACGUAGAUACGGCCCAGACUCCUACAGGAGGCAGCAGUGGGGAAUAUUGCACAAUGGGCGCAAGCCUGAUGCAGCGACGCCGCGUGAGGGAUGACGGCCUUCGGGUUGUAAACCUCUUUCAGCACCGACGAAGCGCAAGUGACGGUAGGUGCAGAAGAAGGACCGGCCAACUACGUGCCAGCCGCCGCGGUAA